GCGCCCUUCCCCCGCGGAGUCUGCCCCGGGCCACCCCGCAGCCCACAGCCCCGCGGCGAGGCCCGGUUGUGAGCAGAAUCGGGGUGUGUGUCACUACAUAGAUCAAGAAUCUGAUAAACAUACGCGAGUCUCUGCGCCGCCGUCUGAUUGCAUCUCCCAUAGACACCGUGGGGCUGACCAGCGGCUGCUCUGAGUGGGAGGCCGGCAGUGCUGGCCUCAGUCUCCUUCUGGAUUGAGAAGCGUCAUGGCCAGCAUCUUGCAGGCCUCCCUGGCUGCUUUCCUCCUGCUGCCUAUGGCCACCGCCAUGCACUCUGACUGCAUCUUCAAGAAGGAGCAAGCCAUGUGCCUGGAGAAGAUCCAGAGGGCGAAUGACCUGAUGGGCUUGAACGACUCCUCCCCAGUGCACACCCUCUCACUAGACCCAUUGUCCCGGUCCACGAUGGGUCCUACCUAGCAUCCCUGUGCCGACCACCCCUGGUUCUCUUCCCCCUGUUCCGACUCCCCGUCUGCACUCCGGACUUGUAUCUAACCGCCUGUUGGAAAUCCACCUCCACUUGGCUCCUGGCACCAUCUCAGACUGAACACACUCCAGAUGAAGCCCUUGAGCUCCAGCCUGCCUCAUGCCCUCCACCAUUUGCUUCUCAUCCGGUUUCUCUCCACUGUGGGGAAAGGCUGACCCCUCCAGCCACACAGACACUCAAGCCAGAAGCCCAGGUGCCAUCUUUGGUACCUCUCUCCCUUUCACUGCAUCAGUCAGGGUAGCCUAGAUGUCACUGCAGUAACCAAAAAAAAAAUAAAUAAAUAAUAAUAAUAAAAAUAAAGACCUUAAGAUUUUAGGGACGCAGCACAACAGCCUUUAUUGCUUGCACACACGGGUUACAGGCCUGCGUGGUUGGUAGAGGCGGGAGGCGGAGCUUGAUUCUGCACCGUCAUUCAGAGCCCCGGGCUCCUUCCAUCUUAGAACACUGCCACCCUCAACCUGUGGCCUCCCAAGAAUGCUGCAGAGAGGGGAGAGGGAGAGAACGGGCGUGGAACCUGUGAGGGGCGCCUCUGAGAGCAGUCCAUCACCUCCACUUACUUACCAUUGGUGAGAACUCAGUCACGGGGUACGGGUGAGCACCAACGGUCGCUGGCAGGCUGGUCUGUCACUGGGCCCUCCAGAUCUGCCACCUCCAGGCUCCCCUACACAGCAUGCCUUUCUGUCUUGGCUGUCCUGGCUCCAAAUCAAGACCCUCUGCCCUCCCCUGGACUUCUGCCAUAUCCUAACAGAUAUGUCUCCGUUUUGAUUUGCUGCUCUUGAAAUGUAUUACCUUCCCGGGGCGCCUG